rnacentral:lncRNA from 1 species
CUCCAGGUUGAAACGAUGGCGGUCAGAACCGCCUGAGGUAAAAACGGGUGGCACUGGGGAAGCGGAGGCGUAGCUCCCGAGAGCCUCACACUUGUGCUCAGUGCCGCCUCACCCCUGGUGGAUCCGCGAUGGCCGCGGAUUCCCCUGGAUUGCCGGCGCUGGGCAGGAGCGCCACUUCUAAUCUCUCCCGAGACUGGACGCCCGGCGCCUUCCACGCGCGUUGUGUCUUUCCGGGCGGUCCCUCGAAGCUGGCUACCCCGCGGGCUGUUGACUGCAGUGGGAUCUGGUCACUCAGAUGCGGAUAGAGGGCUAAAUGCAAGAUGGUAUGGCAUCCAGACUCUGCUCAUAAGUAUCUGCAGUGAUCCAUACCUUGAUUGUACAUCUACUCUGCAUCCUGAGGACCUGAACAUGCUAACUGGUGGCUGCAGAUUUGUCUUCUAAGGAGCAAGUGUGGUCUGUGGACAGGCAGCUUCAGCCUCACCUGGGAUUUUGUUUGCACUAGAAAGUGCCAAGCCCUACCCUAGACCUAUUAAAGCAGAACUGGCGUUUAACAAGACACCCCAGGGUCUGGCCCCUGACUGCAGACUUCUAAUGGAAAGGAAAAGAGACUCUAACACAAUCUGCUAAUUAACCCACAGGUUGGAUUGAGAAGGAAAAAAAUCCACCUGAAUUCUUAAGAUAAAAUGUAUCAUUUAAAUAAUUAUUCUGGGUCUCUGCUUCUCCUGUUUGACAAGACAGCCGCAUCUUCUUGAGCAGUGCCAGCUGUGUCCCUGAGACAACAUGGUGAAGGUGAAGGCCAGAAAAAACAGAUUUGGCCAUAUUGGGGGCCUGGUCACCAGGGAUGCCAACUCUGGCAAAGUGGAUAUUGUCACUAUCAAUGACCUCAACUACAUGGUCUCCAUGUUCCAGUAUGAUUCCGCUCAUGGCAAGUUCCACGGCACCAUCAAGGCUGAGAACGGGAAGCCUGCCAUCAAUGACAAUCCCAUCACCAUCUCGCAGGAGUGAGAUCCCACCCAAAUCAAGUGGGGUCAUGCCAGCACUGAUUAUAUUGUGGCGGCCACCAGCAUCUUUGCCAGCAUGGAGAAGGCUGGGGAUCACCUAGAUGGGGGAGCCAAAAGGGUCAUCAUCACUGCCCCCUCUGCUGAUGGCCCCAUGUGUGUGAUGAGUGAAAGCUAUGAGAAGUACUGCCUGCAGUAAGAGCUUGCUACUAUUAAUAUCAUCAUUUUAGUAAUCAUACUCUGAAUCUUGGCAAAAAAGAAAAGACGGUUCUGAAAAUCAAGUCUGUCUGUUUCUGCCAGAAUACUCAUGAGACAGUUUGUUCCUAAAGCAGCAAUUAGGAGUAAAGAACCAGAACAGUGUGAUCAUCCAAAAAGUCAGCUUCUGGCUUAGCUCCAUCAGGAUCCCAAUUCUCUACGGAGUCGAGGUACUCUCCAUGGCGUUCCCAGGGGGUGAUAAAACAGAGGGGAAGAAGUCAUUCUCCCACCUUCUUCCUUCCGCAUACACCUAUGGCCUGAUCAUCACUGCAGCACCCCUCACUGCCCUGAGGUCCAAAUGGGGGUGCAGCACCCCUCACUGCCCUGAGGUCCAAAUGGGAGCUGGCGCACUCAGAUGCCCACAGGCGCCAUCGAGGAGGGAAGCAGGCUGGUGCAAACGAUCAACACAUGAACUUCGCUUUCAUGCUCGUCACCUAGUGAUAGUCUCCACCUACACAACUAAAGGUGUGCCGUCUCCCAGAUUCUAGAAACACAGCCUCCCUUGACUUUUUUUGAGACAGAGUCUCACUCUGUCACCCAGGCUGGUGUGCAGUGGCACGAUCUCAGCUCACUGCAACCUCUGCCCCCUGGGUUCAAGCAAUUGUCCUGCCUCACCCUCCCUAGUAGCUGGGAUUACAGGCAUGCGCUACUAUGCCUGGCUAAUUUUUGUAUUUUGGGUAGAGACGGGGUUUCACCAUGUUAGUCAGGCUGGUCUAAAACUCCUGACCUCAAGUGAUCCGCCCACCUCAGCCUCCCAAUGUGCUGGGAUUACAGGCAUGAGCCACUGUGCCCGGCCCAGGCUCACUUGAUUUACCUUGCAUUUUUCCACUUUUGACGGUGACACAGAUACAGAGAACAGGUUUGUUCAACACUUUAACAAUACAGACAUGGUCAUGACAGUCCCUAAGUGUUAGGAGCAACGGGGAAGAAUGCAGGCUGUGCUAAACUGACGGGCACAUAACUGCCCCUGGAGGUGAGCCACACCAGAGCCUUAUGCUGGAACACAGGGAAUGGAAGGCUGUAGAAAGGCAGCCCAGAGUGUGGACUGUGCUGAAGAACCUCCCAAUUCUUCAGUGCUGGCUCCUGUGGAUACAUACAUAGGGCAAUCAAAACAAUGCCAUGGGAAGGCCUGCAGCAGACGGAUAGGCACACAUCCACUCUGUAAGCAACAAUUCUUUUCUUUUUCUUUUCCUUUUUUUUUUUUUUUUUGUGACAGAGGCUCACUCUGUUGCCAGGCUGGAGUGGUGCAGUGGUGUAAUCUCGUCUCACUGCAGCCUCCCACUCCCAGAUUCAAGUAAUUCUCCUAUCUCAGCCUCCUGAGUAGCUGGGACUACAGGCAUGUGCCACCACGCCCAGCUAAUUUUUGUAUUUUUAGUAGAGACGGGGUUUCACCAUGUUGGCCAGGAUGGUCUUGAUCUUUUGACCUUGUGAUCUGCCUGGCUCGGUCUCCAGAAGUGCUGGGAUUACAGGCAUGAGCCACCGCGCCCAGCCAGCAACAAUUCUUUCUAACUUAACUCUGUGCAGAGUGUGCAGAGAUUCUUUUUUUUUUUUUUUUUUUUUUUUGAGAUGGAGUUUGGCUCUUGUCCAGGCUGGAGUGCAAUGGCGUGAUCUCAGCUCACUGCAACCUCUGCCUCCCGGGUUCAAGUGUUUCUCCUGCCUCAGCCUUCCGAGUAGCUGGUAUUACAGGCGUGCGCCACCACGCCCACCUAAUUUUUGUAAUUUUAGUAGAGACAGGGUUCCACCAUGUUGGUCAGGCUGAUCUCGAACUCCUGACCUCAGGCAAUCCACCCGCCUCAGCUUCUCAAAGUGCUGGGAUUACAGGCGUGAGCCACGGCACCCAGCUGAGAUUCUUAAAAUGGUGUUCAAACUUUAGGGUGUGCAAGAACCUUCGGAGACACUUGUUUAAAGUGCAGUCCUGGGGCUCAUUACCUGAGAUUCUGAAGCGGAGGCCCAGGAGUCUACUUUAAAAAAAUUUUUCUUUUUUUUUUUUUUUUUUUUGAGAUGGAGUUUUGCUCUUGUUGCCCAGGCUGGAGUGCAAUGGCGCGAUCUUGGCUCACCACAACCUUUGCCUCCUGGGUUCAAGUGAUUCUCCUGCCUCAGCCUCCCGACUAGCUGGGAUUACAGGCAUGCGCCACCAUGCUCGGCUAAUUUUGUAUUUUUAGUAGAGACAGGGUUUCUCCAUGUUGGUCAGGCUGGUCUUGAACUCCCGACCUCAUGUGAUCCACCCACCUCAGCCUCACAAAGUGCUAGGAUUAGAGGCAUGAGCCACCACACCCGGCUAAAAAAAUUUUUUUAAUAGGUAAUAGGCUUUACUUUUAAAGCAGUUUUAGAUUCACAGAAAAAUUGAAGAGACAGUUUGAAGAUUUUUCCAUAAACCCCAUACUAAGUUUCCCCUUUUAUUAACAUCUUACAUUAGUAUGGUAUAUUUGUGACAAUUAAGGAAUCAGUAUUGAUCUAUUAUUAUUAUUAUUAUUAUUAUUUUUAGAAAGAAUGUUGCUCUGUGGCCCAGGCUGGUGUGAGGUGGCGUGAUCUUGGCUCACUGCAACCUCCGCCUCCCGGGUUCAAGCGAUUCUCCUGCCUCAGCCUCCUGAGUAGCUGGGAUAACAGGUGUGUGCCACCAUGCCCGGCUAAUUUUUGUAUUUUUAGUACAGAGAGGGUUCCACCAUGUUGGUCAGGCUGGUCUCGAACUCUUGACCUCAUGAUCUGCCCACCUCGGCCUCCCAAAGUGCUGGGAUUACAGGCGCGAGCCACUGCACCUGGCCACCAGCCUCCUAUUCUAUUCAAAGUCACUCCUCUGCUCACUGAGAUAGAUGCAUAUCUGAGUUGCCUCCUUUGGAAAGGCUCAUCAGAAACUCUAAAGAACGUACCGUUUGUGUAUCACCCAUCUGUGACCUGGGAGCUCCGUCCCCUCUUUGAGUAUUCCUGCCUUCGCUUCAAGUUGUCCCGCCUUUACAGAUGGAACCAAUGUACUUCUUACAUAUAUCAGUUGAUGCCUCAUGUCUCCCUAAGUGUAUAAAACUAAGCUGUGCCUUGACCACCUUGGGCACAUGUCGUUAGGACUCCCUGAGGCUGUGUCACAGGGGCUUCCUCAACGUUGGCAAAAUAAACUUUCUAAGUUAACUGAGACCUGUCUCAGAUUUUAUGGGUUCACAUUAUGGUAACCACGAGGGGAUUCUGAGUGGAGGUGCCCCUGACCUUUGACAAAUCUAUUGGUUCUUGGUAGCAGCAUGAGCUAACUUUAUGGCUCAAGCCAAUAGGACAAUUUGCUGAGGUUUGAGAGCACCCCCUCCAGAGAAUCCCUGAUCUCUUAAAAUUUGGUCAAGAUCUAAAGUUUAUUUUGCUGUACAACUCCUCUUUUUUUUUUUUUUUAUUUUUAGUUUUACUUGCUUCUAAUAGGAAGGCAAGUUUUUCUGCUUCCAUGAUGAUAGAAGGCAGGUAACUCCUUUAUGUAGUUUGAGCUCGCUUCCAACAGGGAAGAUGAGUUUUUUUUUUUCCUGCUCCUAGGAUGGCAGAGAGUAGUCUACAGCCUGAGACCCAUCACUAGGUAAGAAACUGGUUUGAGGCCGGGCACGGUGGCUCAAGCCUGGAAUCCUAGCACUUUGGGAGGCCGACAUGGGCGGAUCACGAGGUCAGGAGUUCGAGACCAUCCUGGCCAACAUGGUGAAACCCUGUCUCUACUAAAAAUACAAAAAAAUUAGCAGGGCGUGGUGGU